UACGUAGGGUGCGAGCGUUGUCCGGAAUUAUUGGGCGUAAAGCGCACGUAGGCGGCUUCUUAAGUCAGGGGUGAAAUCCUGGAGCUCAACUCCAGAACUGCCUUUGAUACUGAGGAGCUUGAGUCCGGGAGAGGUGAGUGGAACUGCGAGUGUAGAGGUGAAAUUCGUAGAUAUUCGCAAGAACACCAGUGGCGAAGGCGGCUUACUGGUCCGGUUCUGACGCUGAGGCGCGAAAGCGUGGGGAGCAAACAGG
rnacentral:rRNA from 1 species